ACCACCACCUCUUCCACCACCACAAGGAGGAGAAGCCCGCGGAGGAGGUGAUAUACUCCGAGACAGCCUACUCCGGCGGCGAUGACUACGCCUCCGGCUACACCGAGACUGUCGUCGCCGAGUCGGCUUCCGAUGAGUACGAGAAGUACAAGAAGGAAGAGAAGCAUCACAAGCACAAGGAGCACCUCGGCGAGAUGGGCGCUGUCGCCGCCGGUGCCUUUGCUCUGGUAAUUCGUCUUGAUCAUAGGUUUCGGUUCUGCUAAUGAUCACCUACAAACAAUUUAAGUUGACAUUAGAACACAUGGCGAUGCAACAGUACGAGAAGCACGAGGCGAAGAAGGACCCCGAUCACGCCCACAAGCACAAGAUCGAGGAGGAGAUCGCUGCGGCGGUGGCGGUUGGCAGCGGAGGCUAUGCCUUCCACGAGCACCAUGAGAAGAAGGACGCCAAGAACGAGGCGGAGGAAGCGAGCGGAAAGAAGCAUCACCACCACCUCUUUUAGGGGCUGCCCUCUUUGAUCGG
rnacentral:lncRNA from 1 species